rnacentral:lncRNA from 1 species
GCUCAGCAGAAAUAUCUUGCUCAAUUGCUGUUGAUGCUGCAGCAGAUCGGCAUCCUGGAGUUGAGCAGGUAAUUGUGGUUUUGGAACUGGUACUACAAAAGAAAUCCAUAUAUGUUUUCUUCUAAUUGUGCUUCUUUGUAUUUUCAGUAUGCAAUCAGGGCAUUUGCUGAUGCUUUGGAUGCCAUUCCACUAGCUUUAGCUGAAAACAGUGGUUUGCCGCCUAUUGAUACUCUCACUGUCGUAAAAUCCCAACAUGUCAAGGUAUUUUGUUUUCUCUGUUGAUUUUGACAGUCACUUUAAAAUGUCGGUUGUCAGCCUGUUCUUCUCACUUUAAAACAUCCUCCUUGUUCUGUUAUACUCCUACUAAUUAGCCGCCUGUGUUUUUGUUGGGGUUGUGAUAGAAUUUAUUUCAGAAGUUACUUUUGGCUAGUGCCUGUGCUUAGUCCUUAUAGUCCUUGGUCCUUCCCCACCUGGCAUUGAUUGUGUUUGAUGCUGUACACGUUGUACCAUCAUGUAAGUCAUAUUAUGUAGUGUACGAUGUGAGGGUUCCAGAAACCAGCACUAGGCAUGCCACUGCCAGUCACCAGUGUUUUUGAGCUCAUAUCUACUACUCCCUCUGUAAACUAAUACUCCCUCCUUACCGGUUUAUAAGGCUCAUAUCUGAAAUUCCACCAACCAAGAUAAAUGUCUAUUGGCUAAUGUGAAAAGUGCCCAAUUAGCAUACUGGUAUUAAAUCUCAGCAUGUUCAAUUGCCAAUGCAAUUAACUACAGCGCCCCAAGCCCUCAUGCGUCCCACUCUCUCUCUCAUCCCGAUGGCACAUGCACUGGUCAUUUUUUUUAUCUCGUUUUAAUGUCCAGAUUGCUGCAUGCAUGCAGCUGAGGGAAGAAAGGAGCAACGACUUGGCUCUGUGAUUAUUUUUCUUUUGAAAAUGGUACCAGGGAAUCAAAUGCAACGCAGAAAUCGAAAAGACCUUAGCGCUUUAACCAAGCUACUCUCAAAACAAGCCUUAUAAAACGGAAAUCUGAAGAUUUUAAGUUGAGCCUUAUAAACAGGUAAGGCUGGUCAUAGUGGGAGUAACAUAGGUAGUAACAUAGAUGCCACAUAAGCAAAAAUGAUGAUGUGGCAAGUAGUUAAUGAGGAGAGAGGCAAAUAGAGUAACAUAAUAUGUUACCAUCACAUAGCGGUUUCCAAUGCAUAAUGAGUCUACAAAGUAAUAAAUGAAGGCAACUAUGUUACCACACCUAUGACACUACCCACUAUGAAGGUAGUAACAUAGACUAGUAACAUAUGUAUGUUACUAGUCUAAGUUACUCCCCACUAUGACCAGCCUAAGGAGGGAGUAGUGAUCUAAAAGAUCUUAUACGUAUUAGUUUACAGAGGGAGUAAUUGUUAUGGCAUUCCUUCUGAAUUGAGGGUAACAUUUCAUUUCUGAACAUAUUUCUAGGAGAACAAUUCCCGCUGUGGCAUUGAUUGCAAUGAUGUUGGUACCAACGACAUGAAAGAACAGAAUGUUUUCGAGACUCUGAUCGGCAAGCAGCAACAGAUCUUGCUGGCAACACAGGUGGUCAAGAUGAUCCUCAAGAUUGAUGAUGUCAUAACGCCUUCUGAGUAUUGAUGACGCCUUCAAGAACGGAAAUCGACUGUGCUAAGUGGCAUGCGCUCCAUUAGUCAGCAUAUUUUAUAUGGGUUGAUUUUGAUUUGCUCCUAGAAUUCUUACAUGGAGUGGUCACUUGUUUUGUUUGAUGAGCUAUCUAGUUUUGUGACGUGCGUUCACACUUUGUAGAGCUUGAGACAGUAGCACAAGUCAUGUCGAUACCAGUCCAUUCGUUGUGUUGUUCAGAUGCUUAAUGUAUGGUUUUGGACCACUAAUUUGUCUGCUUUAUCGUAAUUGUUUUAUUUUUUUGUUUGCUUUGUCUAAAGUAUCUCAGGUAAAGUUGGUGUGAGUCAGACUUACUAUAUGUAUCGAGUUGCUUGUUUUUGUACCGAUCAG